rnacentral:rRNA from 1 species
UUCCUGUUAACUCUCAACAGACUUACACAUGCAAGCAUCCACGCCCCGGUGAGUAACGCCCUCCAAAUCAAUAAGACUAAGAGGAGCAGGUAUCAAGCACACAUCUUGUAGCUUACAACGCCUCGCUUAACCACACCCCUACGGGAGACAGCAGUGACAAAAAUUAAGCCAUAAACGAAAGUUUGACUAAGCCAUGUUGACCAGGGUUGGUAAAUCUCGUGCCAGCCACCGCGGUCAUACGAUUAACCCAAGCUAACAGGAAUACGGCGUAAAACGUGUUAAAGCACUACAUCAAAUAGAGUUAAAUUCUAAUUAAACUGUAAAAAGCCAUAAUUACAACAAAAAUAGAUGACGAAAGUAACCCUACUGCAGCUGAUACACUAUAGCUAAGACCCAAACUGGGAUUAGAUACCCCACUAUGCUUAGCCCUAAACACAAAUAAUUACAGAAACAAAAUUAUUCGCCAGAGUACUACCGGCAACAGCCCGAAACUCAAAGGACUUGGCGGUGCUUUAUACCCUUCUAGAGGAGCCUGUUCUAUAAUCGAUAA